UGAGGAAUAUUGGUCAAUGGGCGUAAGCCUGAACCAGCCAUCCCGCGUGAAGGAAGAAGGCGCUAUGCGUCGUAAACUUCUUUUCCGGAGGAAUAAAAUUUCGUACGCGUACGGAACUGAAGGUACUCCGGGAAUAAGCAUCGGCUAACUCCGUGCCAGCAGCCGCGGUAAUACGGAGGAUGCGAGCGUUAUCCGGAUUUAUUGGGUUUAAAGGGUGCGUAGGCGGAUUAAUAAGUCAGUGGUGAAAACCUUCAGCUUAACUGGAGAACUGCCAUUGAUACUGUUAGUCUUGAGUACGGUCAAGGUAGGCGGAAUGUGUAAUGUAGCGGUGAAAUGCUUAGAUAUUACACAGAACACCGAUUGCGAAGGCAGCUUACUGGGCCAUUACUGACGCUGAUGCACGAAAGCGUGGGGAGCGAACA
rnacentral:rRNA from 1 species